UGGGAGCAGGAAACCCAAAAGAGCCGGCCCUGGAACCAGGUGGAGGGGAGGCAGCCCGGCCAUGACCCAGAGCGGGACACCUGCUCCACUUCACCUUUUGCCAUGAGUAAAAGCUCCCUGAGGCCUCCCAAGAAGUAGAUGCCCUGUGCUUCCUGUACAGCCUGCUGAACCGGAUGGCUUUCCAUGGCUCUGCUACAGCCACUCCUGGAAGUGCUGCCUGACUGAAUCCUCAGGGCACCUCGGCAGGAUGGACGUGGUAUCCCCCCCACUUUACAGAUGGGGAAACUGAGGCUUGAGAGCUAAAGCAGCCCGCCCAGCCCCCAGAGCUGAGGAGGCUGACUCUGGCAGGAGUCACUGUCAGUGCAUGGGCAUUUCUUCCUGUUGUAGCCUGCAGCCCCUUCCAGGCCAGGAGGCCUUCUGUGCGGGUGCCCUGAUGCGAUGGUAUGAUGCAUUCUGGGAGGACAAGAGCACCUCAAAGAACUCAGCAGGAAGCACAGUUUCAAUUCGGAAGUUCUGGAAGGCGAGGCAGGACAGGCCACCCUCCCUCCGUGGCCCAAUGACCUGCACUCCUGUUUCAUCCCCCUGUGUGGCACCUGGGGCAGCUUGGAGCCUACCGAGGUCUCAACAAGGAACCAGUAAAUACAAAAAAAGGACAUCACGUCCCCUAUAGCUAACUGCAAAUGGUGACCAUCCCAGUCCUUGUUUGAUAACAUGGGCAAAGCAGUGAUUUCUGUAAGGACACCGAGAGGAACCUCACCUCUUUCUAAAACCUCCAACGCAGGGCCAGGUGCGGUGGCUCAUGCCUGUAAUCCCAGCACUUUGGGAGGCCGAGGCAGGUGGAUCACGAGAUCAGAAGAUCGAGACCAUCCUAGCUAACACAGUGAAACCCCGUCUCUAGUAAAAAUACAAAAAAUUAGCCAGG
rnacentral:antisense_RNA from 1 species